rnacentral:tRNA from 1 species
GGCAUGGUGGCUCAGUGGUUAGAGCGCAUGCCUCAUGAACGGGAGGUCGUGGGUUCGAACCCCGGCCGAGUCA